rnacentral:rRNA from 1 species
CACGUAGGGUGCAAGCGUUGUCCGGAAUCAUUGGGCGUAAAGAGCUCGUAGGCGGCUUAGUAAGUCGGGUGUGGAAACUCUAGGCUCAACCUAGAGACGCCACCCGAUACUGCUAUAGCUAGAAUCCAGUAGGGGAGUGUGGAAUUCCCAGUGUAGCGGUGAAAUGCGCAGAUAUUGGGAGGAACACCAGCGGCGAAGGCGGCACUCUGGGCUGGUAUUGACGCUGAGGAGCGAAAGCUAGGGGAGCAAACGGG